GGGUCAGUAGGUUGGUCGUGCCACCGGUACGUACUGGUCUCACUGAUUCCUCCUUCCUGAAGAACCGUAAUGCCAUUAAUUCGGUGUUGCGGGGAAACAGGACUGUUACUUUGAAAAAAUUAGAGUGUUUAAAGCAAGCUAACGCUUGAAUACAUUAGCAUGGAAUAAUGAAAUAGGACGAUCGAUCCUAUUUUGUUGGUCUCUAGGAUUGACGUA
rnacentral:rRNA from 1 species